rnacentral:rRNA from 1 species
AUUGAACGCUGGCGGAAUGCUUUACACAUGCAAGUCGAACGGCAGCACGGACUUCGGUCUGGUGGCGAGUGGCGAACGGGUGAGUAAUGUAUCGGAACGUGCCCAGUCGUGGGGGAUAACGUAGUGAAAAUUACGCUAAUACCGCAUACGAUCUAUGGAUGAAAGCGGGGGAUCGUAAGACCUUGCGCUAUACGAGCGGCCGAUGUCAGAUUAGCUAGUUGGUAGGGUAAAGGCCUACCAAGGCGACGAUCUGUAGCGGGUCUGAGAGGAUGAUCCGCCACACUGGGACUGAGACACGGCCCAGACUCCUACGGGAGGCAGCAGUGGGGAAUUUUGGACAAUGGGGGCAACCCUUAUCCAGCCAUGCCGCGUGAGUGAAGAAGGCCUUCGGGUUGUAAAGCUCUUUCGGCCGGGAAGAAAUCGCACAGGCUAAUACCCUGUGUGGAUGACGGUACCGGCAUAAGAAGCACCGGCUAACUACGUGCCAGCAGCCGCCGUAA